CACGUAGGGCGCAAGCGUUGUCCGGAAUUAUUGGGCGUAAAGAGCUCGUAGGCGGUCUGUUGCGUCCGCUGUGAAAACCCGGGGCUUAACCCUGGGCUGGCAGUGGAUACGGACAGACUAGAGGUAGGUAGGGGAGAAUGGAAUUCCCGGUGUAGCGGUGAAAUGCGUAGAUAUCUGGAGGAACACCGGUGGCGAAGGCGGCAUCCUGGACCAACACUGACGCUGAGGAGCGAAAGCCAGGGGAGCAAAGCGGGG
rnacentral:rRNA from 1 species